AUCCUAGUGCACGGGUUUUACACGUAUCAGUGAGGAGACAUCCGAGAUCGUGUUUUUACUAGUUGAAAACUACCAAAUUGACUACUUCAAGUGGGCUUUCGGGCCCGCUUGGGAAUUUUUGAAACUCCACUACCUCAUCUCCUUGCUGGU
rnacentral:snRNA from 1 species